rnacentral:rRNA from 1 species
CUACGGGCUGCUCCAGUGGGGAAUAUUGGACAAUGGGGGAAACCCUGAUCCAGCAAUGCCGCGUGUGUGAAGAAGGCCUGCGGGUUGUAAAGCACUUUCGGUUGGGAGGACUGCUUCUAGCACUAAUAUUGUUGGAAGUUGACGUUACCUUCAGAAGAAGCACCGGCUAACUCCGUGCCAGCAGCCGCGAUAAUACGGAGGGUGCAAGCGUUAAUCGGAAUUACUGGGCGUAAAGCGCGCGUAGGCGGCUAGAUCAGUCGGGUGUGAAAGCCCCGGGCUUAACCUGGGAACUGCAUCCGAUACUGUCUAGCUUGAGUACAGGAGAGGAGAGUGGAAUUCCACAUGUAGCGAUGAAAUGCGUAGAUAUGUGGAGGAACACCAAUGGCGAAGGCAGCUCUCUGGCCUGAUACUGACGCUGAGGUGCGAAAGCGUGGGGAGCAAACAGGAUUAGAUACCCUCGUAGUC